UACGGGGGGGGCAAGCGUUGUUCGGAAUUACUGGGCGUAAAGGGCUCGUAGGCGGCCAACUAAGUCAGACGUGAAAUCCCUCGGCUUAACCGGGGAACUGCGUCUGAUACUGGAUGGCUUGAGUUUGGGAGAGGGAUGCGGAAUUCCAGGUGUAGCGGUGAAAUGCGUAGAUAUCUGGAGGAACACCGGUGGCGAAGGCGGCAUCCUGGACCAUUACUGACGCUGAAUCGCGAAAGCUAGGGGAGCAAACGGG
rnacentral:rRNA from 1 species